GUGUCAGCCGCCGCGGUAAUACGUAGGUGGCAAGCGUUGUCCGGAUUUACUGGGCGUAAAGAGCGCGCAGGCGGUCGUUCAAGUCGCGUGUGAAAGCCCCCGGCUCAACUGGGGAGGGUCACGCGAUACUGAUCGACUCGAAGGCAGGAGAGGGUAGUGGAAUUCCCGGUGUAGUGGUGAAAUGCGUAGAUAUCGGGAGGAACACCAGUGGCGAAGGCGACUACCUGGCCUGUUCUUGACGCUGAGGCGCGAAAGCUAGGGGAGCAAACGGGAUUAGAUACCCCGGUAGUCCUAGCCGUAAACGAUGGACACUAGGUGUUGGUGGUAUCAACCCCGCCAGUGCCGAAGCUAACGCAUUAAGUGUCCCGCCUGGGGAGUACGGCCGCAAGGCUAAA
rnacentral:rRNA from 1 species